GUGUCUAUGAAUUUGUCCAUUUCUUCUAGGCUCUCCAGCUUAUUGCAAUGUCAGUUUUUGAAAUAGUUUCUUAUAAUCCUCUGGAUUUUGUCAGCAGCCAUUGUGAUUUCAUCUUUUUCAUUUCUAUUUGCGUUGAUGAGGAUCUUUGCUUUCUUGCCUCUGGAAUCCAGGAAGACAAUGAACUGGUGCUGCUGACGAUUAGGCUGGGAUGCGGAAGAUGAAAGAAGUCAGGAAGAAAACAGUUGCAAAACCAGGGAAGAAAGAAACAGAGAUAAGAACAAAUGAAAAUCCUGGCAAGUGACAUCUGAGCAUCUGUCAAUUGCUGCUAGUUUUAAUCCUCCAUCUUCCCCUUUGAUUAUAUUCUCAAGUGUGGAUUUUGGACACUUUUCCAAAUGUGCUCAAAGAUAAAUAUGGUGAUGCAAGAAGCUUGAUGAAGCCCCCCAGCACAAUAACUGUGAAGAAAACCAUGUCUUUGAACCAUACUCAAAAAAUUGAAGAGGAAAUCAAAACUGAAAGUGGCUGGAGGAAAGCAACGUAUAACGCCCAAGGAAGCAGGGUUUCAAAAGACCUGAGUUCUCAUCAGAGACUGACGAUGCCACAUGACUGUAGGAAAACCUCUCUAAAAUGGAAGGAAAAGCAAAAUUGUCAUAAGUCUCCCAUGGAAAUUACCUCAAGAAU